GAAGACCCUUUUGAGCUUGACUCUAGUCCGACUUUGUGAAAUGACUUACGAGGUAUAGCCUAAGUGGGAGCUCACGCGAACCUGUAAAACCACUACUCGUUUUGCCAUUUUACUUAUUCCGUGAAAUAGUGACCACUUUCCGGUGGUUCUAGUAUUAAGGUUAGGCGCAAGCUCGACUGAACUAAGCGGAAGACAUGGUCAGGUGGGGAGGUUUGGCUGGGGCGGGCACAUCUGUUAAACUAUAACGCAGGUGUCCUACGGUGAGCUCAGAGAGAACAGAAAUCUCUCGUAGACCAAAAGGGGAAAAGCUCACUUGAUUUUGAUUUUCAGUAUGAAUACAAACUGUGAAAGCAUGGCCUAUCGAUCCUUUAACUUUACAAGUUUUAAGUCUAGAGGUGUCAGAAAGUUACCACAGGGAUAACUGGCUUGUGGCAGCCAAGCGUCCAUAGCG
rnacentral:rRNA from 1 species